rnacentral:rRNA from 1 species
AUGCUUAACACAUGCAAGUCGAACGGUAACAUUGGAGCUUGCUCCAGAUGACGAGUGGCGGACGGGUGAGUAACGCGUAGGAAUCUGCCUAGUAGUGGGGGACAACAUGUGGAAACGCAUGCUAAUACCGCAUACGCCCUACGGGGGAAAGCGGGGGAUCUUCGGACCUCGCGCUAUUAGAUGAGCCUGCGUUAGAUUAGCUUGUUGGUGGGGUAAUGGCCUACCAAGGCGACGAUCUAUAGCUGGUCUGAGAGGACGAUCAGCCACACUGGGACUGAGACACGGCCCAGACUCCUACGGGAGGCAGCAGUGGGGAAUAUUGGACAAUGGGCGAAAGCCUGAUCCAGCAAUACCACGUGUGUGAAGAAGGCCUGAGGGUUGUAAAGCACUUUCAAUUGGGAGGAAAAAAGCUGGGUUAAUAGCCCUGCUCUUGACAUUACCUUUAGAAGAAGCACCGGUUAACUCCGUGCCAGCAGCCGCGGUAAUACGGAGGGUGCGAGCGUUAAUCGGAAUUACUGGGCGUAAAGCGUACGUAGGCGGUUAUUUAAGUCAGAUGUGAAAGCCCCGGGCUCAACCUGGGAACUGCAUUUGAUACUGGAUAACUAGAGUUUGAUAGAGGAGAGUAGAAUUUCUGGUGUAGCGGUGAAAUGCGUAGAGAUCGGAAGGAACACCAGUGG